GGUCAGGAUGCUUGGCUUAUACUAGGUUUUAUACGGUGAAGAGGAGUUGAGCAGGGAAUUGAAAAUCCCCGUGUCGGUGGUUCGAUUCCACCCCUGGCCGCCA
rnacentral:tRNA from 1 species